UGGGGAAUUUUGGACAAUGGGCGCAAGCCUGAUCCAGCCAUGCCGCGUGCGGGAAGAAGGCCUUCGGGUUGUAAACCGCUUUUGUCAGGGAAGAAAAGGUUCUGGUUAAUACCUGGGACUCAUGACGGUACCUGAAGAAUAAGCACCGGCUAACUACGUGCCAGCAGCCGCGGUAAUACGUAGGGUGCAAGCGUUAAUCGGAAUUACUGGGCGUAAAGCGUGCGCAGGCGGUUAUGCAAGACAGAGGUGAAAUCCCCGGGCUCAACCUGGGAACUGCCUUUGUGACUGCAUAGCUAGAGUACGGUAGAGGGGGAUGGAAUUCCGCGUGUAGCAGUGAAAUGCGUAGAUAUGCGGAGGAACACCGAUGGCGAAGGCAAUCCCCUGGACCUGUACUGACGCUCAUGCACGAAAGCGUGGGGAGCAAACAGGAUUAGAUACCCAAGUAGUCCCUGAGCGGGCUGGCAAGGCGCAU
rnacentral:rRNA from 1 species